GUGGCCUAUUGCGUCAGCGCCCUCUUCUGCACUCAGGGUGGCCCCUACUUUCACCAGAUAAUUGAACAGGGGCUUACUCGGAACCUCAUGCUUACUGUGACAAUGUUAGAAACCCUGGGUUUAAUAUGGUUCUACGGUUUGAGAAGGAUCUGCUUUGACGUCGAAUACAUGCUCAAGAAACCGGUGAGCCCUUAUUGGAUGAUGACUUGGACCUUCACAGCACCGACGAUCACGAUCGUUAUCUUCACAUAUCAGGCCCUAGCAGUAGUUGAGGGAGACCUCAUCAUGG